GAUGAACGCUGGCGGCAUGCCUAAUACAUGCAAGUCGAACGAAGCCAGAAGUAAGCUUGCUUACUUCAACGGCUUAGUGGCGAACGGGUGAGUAACACGUAGGUAACCUGCCCUUGUACCUGGGAUAACAGUUGGAAACGAUUGCUAAAACCGGAUGGGAACACUUGAGGCAUCUCAAGAGUUUAAAAGGUGCGUAUGCACUGGACAAGGAUGGACCUGCGUUGCAUUAGCUAGUUGGUGGGGUAGUAGCCUACCAAGGCGAUGAUGCAUAGCCGACCUGAGAGGGUGAUCGGCCACACUGGGACUGAGACACGGCCCAGACUCCUACGGGAGGCAGCAGUAGGGAAUUUUCGGCAAUGGGGGGAACCCUGACCGAGCAAUGCCGCGUGAGUGAAGAAGGAUUUCGGUUCGUAAAGCUCUGUUGUAAGAGAAAAUGUUAUAGACAGGAAAUGGUCUGUGAGUGAUGGUAAUCUUACCAGAAAGCCACGGCUAACUACGUGCC
rnacentral:rRNA from 1 species